rnacentral:rRNA from 1 species
AUUGAACGCUGGCGGCAGGCCUAACACAUGCAAGUCGAGCGAGCGGCGGACGGGUGAGUAAUAUAUCGGAACGUGCCCGGUAGCGGGGGAUAACUACUCGAAAGAGUGGCUAAUACCGCAUAAUAUUGGAGAGGCCGAUAUCGGAUUAGCUAGUUGGUGGGGUAAAGGCCCACCAAGGCAACGAUCCGUAGCUGGUUUGAGAGGACGACCAGCCACACUGGGACUGAGACACGGCCCAGACUCCUACGGGAGGCAGCAGUGGGGAAUUUUGGGCAAUGGAGGAAACCCUGAUCCAGCCAUGCCGCGUGAAUGAGAAGGCCUUCGGAUUGUAAAGUACUUUUGGCAGAGAAGCGGUAUCUACAGAAUAAGCACCGGCUAACUACGUGCCAGCAGCCGCGGUAAUUC